AGGAAGGUGGGUAUUGUUAAUAGCAUACUCAUUUGACGUUAGCUGCAGAAGAAGCACCGGCUAACUCCGUGCCAGCAGCCGCGGUAAUACGGAGGGUGCGAGCGUUAAUCGGAAUUACUGGGCGUAAAGCGCAUGCAGGUGGUUUUGUUAAGUCAGAUGUGAAAGCCCGGGGCUCAACCUCGGAAUUGCAUUUGAAAACUGGCAAACUAGAGUACUGUAGAGGGGGGUAGAAUUUCAGGUGUAGCGGUGAAAAUGCGUAGAGAUCUGAAGGAAUACCGGUGGCGAAGGCGGCCCCCUGGACAGAUACUGACACUCAGAUGCGAAAGCGUGGGGAGCAAACAGGAUUGGAUACCCUGGUAG
rnacentral:rRNA from 1 species